UCAAAUUGAGAUAUUAUUAUAAUAAAUCUUACUUUGCAAUUGUAUGUAUACAAGAGAUGGGAGAUCAAAUCCCACAAACCCUAAGUUUGUUCUUGAAUCUAACACCUCUAAAAACCUUGAUCAAUCUUGAUCAAGUAACUAACUGUGUCACUUCAAUUGACAUUUUGUUGCUACUUCCUUACAAGGAACCCUUUGUCCCAAGGCUUUCACCCAACUGAAUUAAUCCCAAGCGCAUGAUCAUGUAACCAACAAUGUCACUUCAAUUCAC
rnacentral:lncRNA from 1 species